CAUGUGUGCCAGUGGGACUUGGCUCUCAGACUGGCUUUCAUUUUUCCUGCCCUGUCUCAUUGUCUGUCAUACUCUCCUUUUCUUUUUAAUCCCUCUGAGUUUGGAAAAAGGGUCUGCGUGAAGAGAAAACAAUGCUACAAGAAGUUAGAGGUGAUGCAGUUUAACAUGGCUAUGUUCUAAAAAAGCAAGAAUCUGCCUCUUUAUGAGCAAAAAGAGAAAGCAGAUAUUCCACAACCUCUCUUUCACGGAAGGUCACUAUAUUGAGCACCAACCCUUCGUUCAUAAUUCAGAAAGGUUCUCCAUCCUGGGAAGAGCAACAAAUUAAAAAACCGCUACCGACGUGCAGAUAUUUUACAGCGCAAUCCAGUGAGACUCUGCAUUUUCAUACUGAGAAGUAAAAUAUGACCUAGACAAGACCCAGACACAGGCUCAUAAGAAAGACUACGGGGCUUUAAAAUUAUUGCCUUGAUCAUGGAAAGAAACAUGAGGAAUCACUGGCAGCCACAACUCAGGAUGGUCUUUGGGGGCAAUCAGUGUUUGACAGAAUCAAAGAACAUCUGGAAAUCAGCAUAUUUUGAGCUAGUUCACACCCUGCUUGGUUCAUAUUUCAACAGCUCUAUGUACUAAGGCAGUUAUAUGGCCCUGAGAAAAGCAGCCUGGAUUUAUCCUUUGGGAUUAAACAAUUUCAGCAAAGCUAGCAGGAGAACAGGAGGACCAAGGUAAGAGAAGAGGAGGAGGAGGAGUAGGAGGAAGGAGGAGGAGGAAGAGGAGGAGGAGAAGUAAAGCAAUAUUGGGAAAUUAUCAGACAACCCAAGAUUUUCUGAAUCUCCUAAACCCAUUCAAUCCCAUGUUGUGAAUGGAGGUCCAUUUUCAUCUGGAAAAACAUGAAUUUCAAUUACAUUUACACAAUUGUUCAACCACAGUUUUCAAGAUCAGAUGCAUUUUCUCACUGUCUGCAGAUCCUGUGGAGAAUAAACCUCCCCCCUGGGAUGAAGACCUUGGCUGUGUAAUUUGGGACAUGCUACCUCAAAGGGAAAAUGAAAGCGUGAUUCUCUUCUGAGGGAGGAAUUGGACAUCUCCCAGACUAAGCAAAUGGCAGCUGCAGACGGUACUGCGAGGCACAGAUCUGCUGCUGGGAACGACAUCCUUCGAGGUGGAAGAUGUGAGGGGCCCAGGGUGCGGUGGGCCCUGGGAACACUGUGAACUCAUGUGAAAAUUCCUAACGUUGAACAUGCAGGGAGAACCCAGCGUUUUGCCAAAUGUUUUCAGGAGCUUAAAUUUUAAGCAUCAUUUUCCUGCACUUCUGUUCUUUUUGGAUAUUCUUGAGGACAUUUUAGUUUCUUUAUUUUGUCCCUCUCUGGCUCCAUUUUGGGCAAGAAAGAAAUACAAAUCUUACUCUAAAAGAUACUAACCAGCUCUUUCAAAAGGGAAAUAAAGCUGAGAACUCCAGUGUCAGUGGGAAGUAUCUCACCAACUCCAUUUCAGCCCCCCCCGGGGUUCUUCCUCAGGAGCUCCAGAGUUGAUGGGGACCCAUUGGUCAAUGUUCAGAGGGGUCACAGCAAACACAUUUCACACUCACACAGAAGCUUACAGUCCUGUCGCUCAAAGGGACUGCAGGGCCUCUGCAGUUCACCCCUGGUUUUAACGAUGAGCAAACGAAGGCUUGGUGAUGGGCAGUGACCUGUCGAAGGUCACAUAGUGAUGCAGGGGCUCCCCAGCCAGCAUCUCCUCCCACAGCAGGCUGCCCACUUCCCCAGCGGACGUGGAGCAACAGACUGGAAUGAGCCCCCUUUCCUUUCCCUGAAAUACUCAGUGCAGUGACUAACAUAAGGUUCAGAAAUAUUAUUUGUUUGUUUAUAAUUUAUAUACAAUUGCUUCCUAGAAAGACUUGCAGGAGGCAGGGCCAUGCUGCUGGCUGUGGAUGGGGUCUCUCUUCACGUCUGCUCCUGACAAACACAGAGCAGUGAUGUCAGACGGCAGCUGCCAUGAGUGAGACCAACGACAGGACAGCGACAGAACAGCCAGAAAGCAAAGCUUUGUUCCAGCAUCCCCAGGAAGUCUUCGUGUGGCUUUUCCCUCUCUCCACUGGAAACCUCACUUUAGGGUGAAUCCUUCCAUGUAGGAGCCACGAAGUCAUUUUACAUGUCUAAUUAAGAGUAGUCAUUCUUCCAAGAAACAUGCAUUGAACACAUUGGCAUCGGGCAUGGAAAGAUGGAAAAGGUAGGUUCUCAAAGCAGUAGCAGUCCACUUAGCAUGUGAGGUGGUAUCUAUCAGGAUCACAGGCGAACUUGUUAAAAAUACAGAUUUGCUGUCCCCUGUACCCCACUGGCUGACUUAGUGUGGCCCUGGGUUGGCCCUUGGGAAUCAGUAUUUUAAUAAGUUUCUCAUGUAAAUGAUCCGAGUCCCACAUAUUCCGAAUGCUGGUCUAAUGUGCAGAGGAAUCCUUUGAGACAACAGCCACAGAUCCUUCUCUACUGUUGGCUUUGUAGGCGAUCUCCAGGAAGCAGGAAAGAUCACCCUUUCCUAUUUUUUCUCCCAACAAAAUCGGAGGGGAAGGGGGAGGAAGCAUGCUUGGAUGAAGAAGGCAGGUUUACCAUCUCCAGGUGUGCAAUGUGGCCCUGUUUCCUCUCCUAGAAAAUCUCUCAGCUAAACUCCUGCCCUAAGAAAAGGAGGCACUGAAGCUGUUUAAGGAAAGAGAAAACUAGGUGAAACUCUUUGCACUUAGAUUCCAUUUUAUAAGGGGCAGUGAUUUUUUUUACUGGGUAUCACACUUCCUGUUAAUAAAGUGAAAAAACAAAGACGAAAAACCUCUCACAAAAAUACUCCGACCCACUCACUUUUGAAUCUAUAUUUUUAGUCAAUGUGACCACCUCAGUGUUACUGUAAAAGUGAAACUCUUGAAAAGGGGACCUGGGUCAGAGUAAAGUGUCAGUUUCGUGAGCAGACAUUCCUCCAAGUGCUUGGCAUUUUUAGAAUGUUUUGCUGUCGUUUUUUGCUCUGACUGCAGUAAACGAACCGUGAUAUGAAAACACCAUUUUUCCUGUGUUGUGGCCUAGCAUUUCCUGAGAGAAGCCACAGCUGUGAGGUAGAGAUGGGGGACAUGGUGGGUGCAGAGGAUAGAGAAGAAGAGAAGAGCUGGGAAAGAGACGCAAAAGGCCCACAAAAGGGAGAAGAGAAAAACAUCUGCAAUGAGAUGCUCUGUAAUUAAUCAUCUCCACGAAAUUCCAAGUCUCCAAGCCCCGUCCGCCAUGCAGUUUGCUGACACAGAGGGGGAAAAGCACUUUUACAAACACACAACUAGUAAAACCGUUACAGCUACGUGAACAGCCAGGCUCCAGCAGAAGGCAGUGGCCCUUAUUUUUAAAAUUAUGCAUGAAAUCAUACAUGUGGAGAAAAAGAUAACAAAUUCCCCUUUCUAUGCCUUGGAAUAUGGGAGUCCCAAAAGUAUCCUGAGAAUAUUUGCUGUCUCAUGUUGGUGCUGAUAGACGCUAAACUACCAAAAUAUUUAGCUGUAAAAGUCCCUUGAGAACGUUAUUGUUGAUAAAAUACCAGUGGGGGAGCUGGAGGUAGACCCUCCUUUUCCCACGCUUGCAUUUCUAUAAUAGAUUGUCUCAUAGGAGGAGGGAACAAGUUACUCUGACUUAAUUUUCCUUACUCACAGAGUGCCCGUGUUUGCAAGCUGGAAAGACUCUUCGAAAUCUCCUUUACUUUCACUCACUGUGUUGCUUCCCGCCAUUUAACUAAAAGAGGAAAGGUUAAAGGACUCACUAAAGUUUCCAGCACAUUUUCUGUGUUUUCACUGCAAAGUGACAACAUGUAGGCCAUAGAAUUCCUCUUAACAGUGAAUUUUAAAUGAGUUUGGAUGAAAAGGAUAGUCAAUGUAGGUUUAUUGAUGGUAACAAACCGAACAUCUUGUGAUGGUUGGGGAGGCUGUAUUUACGUGGGGGCAGACUUUUGAUGUGAAACUAAAACUGUUCUAAGAAAAUAAAGUCUGUCAGAAAAGAGGAUCCAUCCUGUUUGUGAAAGUGGACAGUGGAUCCAAGGAGUCUGAUUCUACUUUUUUUCUUUGUGAUUAUAAUUUUGUGAAAUAAUUUUAUUUCUGUUCCAGAAAUAAAAAACCUAGGUCUUGUUCUGGCUCCUUAUCUCUGCACUUCUGAUAUGCUGUCCUUGUGCCAUAAAUCUUAACUUUGUGCCUCUGUUUCUCCUAUUAUUUUAAAAGGAGAGGAGUCAAGAUGAGGGAAGAUAAAUAAGUUUUCUUCCAGCUGAAUCAAAGCUCUACAAUUUUGCAAAUAAUUCCACGCAGAAGCCAAUGACACACACAUUCCUGAGACUAUCACUGACAUGGAUAAGUUUGCUGUUGCUGUCAGCCAGUGCAAUUUCCCUGAUUAACCUGUAAAAAG
rnacentral:lncRNA from 10 species